UACGGAGGAUGCGAGCGUUAUCCGGAUUUAUUGGGUUUAAAGGGUGCGUAGGCGGGUUAUCAAGUCAGCAGUAAAAUCGUGGAGCUCAACUCCAUCCAGCCGUUGAAACUGAUGAUCUUGAGUGGGCGAGAAGUAUGCGGAAUGCGUGGUGUAACGGUGAAAUGCAUAGAUAUCACGCAGAACUCCGAUUGCGAAGGCAGCAUACCGGCGCCCGACUGACGCUGAAGCACGAAAGCGUGGGUAUCGAACAGG
rnacentral:rRNA from 1 species